GAAGUCCACAAGUCUUAAACUUGCCAAGUUUGAAGAUCCUUGCCCUAUGUCAUCCGGAUCAAUGCAUCUUUGAAUGUUAGAACAGGAAUGUCUCUGAAGUCCCUCUCUUGUUUUCUGUUCUUUGUAUUGCUGUUGUUUCUGCUGAAAGGAAGUCUUUCAAACCUUUAUGAUUCUCUCUCUCUCUCCCUCUCUCUCUCUCUCUUUCCCUCUCGCUCCCCCCUCUCCCCCCCCUCUUGAUUACGUAUGUGUAAUAUACCCAUAGCACAAUGGUGGGAUUCAGCCAGUUCGCACCACUUUGGGAGAACCGGUUGUUAACUUUCUGAGCAGUUUGGUGAACUGGUUGUUGGAAGAAAUCAUUAGGGCAGAGAACCUAUUGUUAAUUUAUUUGAAUCCCACCACUGCCAUAGCAGUUAUAUAAAUGUAGCUUAAGGAAUUGCCUGUAGUUUGCUUUGAUUAUAUUUUUCCUCAAACAGAAGUCCAAACAUCUGAAAGAGGUCUAUCAAGGCACGACUGCUAUCAUUUAUAAAAUUGUGUAUGCAAUUUCUUAUGAGCUUUAAUGGAAAGUUUUGUAGGAAAAAGCACCUAAUUUUGUUAUUUUUAUAGCUGAAACUUGGAAUGAAAAUGUUGUGUUAUUACAUGUUAUUACCUUCUUGCCAAAGAAUGUGGGUAGAUCUGCAGCUGACAAGAAACUUUGUGUAAAAUAAGAAUCAUAAUGUCCAGGGUUUUGUUUUUUAAAAAGAGCUAUAUUUAUAUGCAGCUUAUGGUAGCUCCAGAGUUACCAUAUCUAUAGUAAUGUCUCCAGAAUAUUCUUGAUAUUGGUAUUUUUUUCAUGGUUACAAAUUUAUACAUAGAUGAUAUGGAUGAUUUUUGGGAAGAUAAACAGCCUGAAACCUGGUUAGUUUUGGAUGGAGAACUACUUGAGAGUUCCAAGACUGUUGGAUCAGUGGAAAGUUUAAAUAAGAACAUCCUGGAAAAAGCUAGUGGAAAGACACUUCUGUAAUUUUGCCAAGAAAACUUCAUGGAUAUAAUCACAGGAGUCAAACUUGAUUCAAGGAUGUCUUUUAAGCCUCUCUAAAUGCUAAUUUCUUCAGCUAUGCCAGCCAACGUGAUACAAACUGAUACAAGCUAGUCUUGAACUUUUUUUGCUUAACGUUUGAACUGCACAAUUUGCUCCGUACCAAUAUUGUGAUUCAGAUUGCGGGGAGUGAAGGGAUAUCCAUCCCGCACUUAUAGUUAAAAUCAGCCAAGAUCAUGCUUGAUUUUAUGUGUAUGUGAGAGAGGAAAGACUAAAUUUAAAUAGCAUACCGAUUGCACUCUCAAAUUAAUGUCCAAAUGAACCCACUGUUAAAUUGGGAUUCUUUUAUGUUCAAGAGAAGUGUAUAAGAAUUUUAAUGCUUGGGAUAUGCUUUGGAAAGUAAAUGCUCGAAGCGGUUAUGAUUUACAGGAUCUUUUUAUGUCUUUCUCCAAAGAUAGAAUUAAAAGCUAUACAGAAAGGGCUAACAAUGAUUUUCGAAGCAUCUGUGUAUUUGCAGCUGUAUGUUUCAUUGUUUAAAACUGCUCCAAAAGCAUUUGAUUGUAUACAUGUUAUUGAAAAUGGUUGGAAUGGUAAGCAGUGGCAAACAAAUAAUGUGUCUCCGGCAAUUACAGUUGUGUUAUUUCCCCCGCUAUAUUUCAACAACAUUAUUUUUUCCAGAAGGAACAGCUUCUCUCCAGAAGAUUUUUUUAUUCAGGUGGGAUUCUUGAUAGGAGGAAGAUAAGCAUAGAACGCUAACUCAUGCAGGGUUACUUACAAUGACCUCUGAAGAUGUGAAAUUCUGCUUUUAAGAAUGACAGGAGAGCCGAAAUACAGUGGUGCAAAAACGCAUCAAAAUUAUCCAAGGCCAAAGUAGUAGAUAAGUCGGAAAAUUUAGAGAGUUCCAUCUGAAGCUAAGCAACUCUUGACUUGUCAACAUAAUUUCAAAGUGACAGCAUUGGAUUCGUUUGCAGUUGGAUCUGGAAGCUUAACACUUUGAGAUGUUUGCCACCUUGCAGCAUUGCAGGUAAUUUAAAUGAAGGGAAGCUCCCGGCUACUUGUUUUGAAUAUUAACAAUAAUCCCCCACAUUUGAGUUUGUAGAAAUCAAUACUCUUUACACACACACACACACACACACACACAAAUAUGGCUGGAAUGAGAGCGAUUUUUAUAUUUCCUGGGAAAUACACACAUACAGUUUUGCCUAGGUAGAUAAAAUCUUUGUAUUUAUUUCAGUUAUAUUAAAAGUAACCAUAACACUGUUUUUCUUUGGCCAGGAGAAGAUUUUUUUCUUCUAGAAGACAAAUGUUGAGUACUAUAGUAAUCAUGACUGUCAUUGAAAGAGCUAUUCAUUUUAGUUUUUAAUUCUAAUUCAGCAACAGACAACGACCUCCCUUACUAAAUGUGUGUGUGUGGGGUGUGUGUGUAUUUGUCUUGAUUCUGUUAAAUAUCCUAAAGUGAUCUAAAAUGAAACUAUGAUUUAUUUUUCAAAGUUAGCUUAGAGGCACAGAAAUAGUUUGUUCUGUUACCUGGUAUGGAGGUUGG